rnacentral:rRNA from 1 species
ACGUAGGAGGCAAGCGUUGUCCGGAUUUACUGGGCGUAAAGCGCGCGCAGGCGGCACUCUAAGUACGGUGUGAAAUCUCCCUGCUCAACGGGGAGGGUGCACUGUACACUGGAGAGCUAGAGGACGGUAGAGGGGGGUGGAAUUGCUGGUGUAGCGGUGAAAUGCGUAGAUAUCGGAAGGAACACCAGUGGCGAAAGCGGCUUCCUGGUCCAGCACCGACGUUCAGGCACGAAAGCGUGGGGAGCAAACAGGA